AUUGAACGCUGGCGGCAGGCCUAACACAUGCAAGUCGAACGAGUGGCGGACGGGUGAGUAAUGUCUGGGAAACUGCCUGAUGGAGGGGGAUAACUACUGGAAACGGUAGCUAAUACCGCAUACUAUCAGAUGAGCCCAGGUCGGAUUAGCUAGUUGGUGGGGUAAAGGCCUACCAAGGCGACGAUCCGUAACUGGUCUGAGAGGAUGACCAGUCACACUGGAACUGAGACACGGUCCAGACUCCUACGGGAGGCAGCAGUGGGGAAUAUUGGACAAUGGGCGAAAGCCUGAUCCAGCCAUGCCGCGUGUGUGAAGAAGGUCUUCGGGUUGUAAAGCACUUUAAGCUGGGAGGCGUUACCCGCAGAAGAAGCACCGGCUAACUUCGUGCCAGCAGCCGCGGUAAUAC
rnacentral:rRNA from 1 species